CCCAGAACAAACCAAAACCAAACCAAACAUGAAGACCACCACAAAAAGUAGGCUGGUUCGAAGCGCAGUGAUGAGAACUCGGGACAGUACGGACGUGGAGGCGCCCACAGCGCCCUUCUUGUCGCCGCGGUGUGGCCACACACCCCGCACCCUUGUGCCAGGCACAGGAGCCUGCCUCUCCCAGUGCCCCCCAGGGACGCCUGAUGGGGCAGGGUCGGACUGGGGACAGCACUCUCCGGCCCCCCUCAGCGUUCGAGGAGCUCCCGCAGACCUCACCGCUUUUCUGGCUCUCCCUCAAUGCGUGGCUCUUCUGGAAAACCUUCCUGCUCUAUUAUCAAGGGCUGCAGUAUUAUUAUUUGCAUCAGAUGUUAGGGGAUUGUGUGUUAGCAGAGCUUCAGCAUCUGUCCUCAAUCUCAACUGCUGCCUGGUCCUUCUACCCAUGUGCCGUGUUCUCUUGGCCUUCCUGCGGGGAUCCCAGAAGGUUGCCAGCCGGAAAACCAGAAGGCUGCUAGAUAAAAGUAAAACUUUCCAUGUGACGUGUGGUGUUACAAUAUGCAUCUUUUCAGUCUUACAUGUUGCUGCUCAUCUGGUGAACGCUCUUAACUUCUCUGAGAACUACAAUGAAGACUUCCUGUCACUAAAUGCAGCAAACUAUCGCGGUGAGGACCCGAGGAAACUGCUUUUUGCUACUGUUCCAGGUCUGACUGGAGUCAUUAUGGUGUUGGUAUUAUUCCUAAUGUGUACAGCUUCUACCUAUGCCAUCAGGGUUUCAAACUAUGACAUCUUCUGGUAUACACACAACCUUUUCUUUGUCUUCUAUAUGCUGCUGAUGCUGCAUGUUUCUGGGGGGGUGCUGAAGUACCAGACCAACUUAGAGGAACACCCUCCUGGUUGCUUUAAUCCUAACAAAACACUCCGAGAGAACAUGACGGUGCCAAAGGCUUUUGAAGAGUCGUUUCCUGACUAUACUACCGAGCCUUUCCCAGAGGACUUAUCAGUACCAGAACCCUUUGUACAAAAUAACUUUAUGAGAAUUUGUUCCGAGGAACCCAAGUUCCAGUCACACUUCCCAGAGACCUGGUUUUGGAUUUCCGGACCUCUGUGCUUGUACUGCGUGGAAAGGCUGUACCGCUACAUCCGCAGCAAUAAACCAGUCACCAUAACUUCGGUGAUAAGCCAUCCCUCCAAUGUCCUUGAAGUAAGGAUGAUAAAAGACGACUUUAAAGCAAGGCCUGGUCAGUAUGUUAUUCUACACUGUCCGAGAGUGUCGGCACUGGAAAGCCAUCCAUUCACCCUUACAAUGUGCCCUACAGAUACCAAAGCAACGUUUGGGGUCCACCUUAAAGUAGUAGGAGACUGGACAGAAAGAUUUCGGGAUUUACUGCUUCUCCAUUCAAACCAAGAUACAGAGAUUCUGCCCAUCUUUCAGCAGAGGCGCUAUCCCAAACUGUAUGUGGAUGGACCCUUUGGAAGUCCCUUUGAGGAAUCCCUGAACUACGAGGUCAGCCUCUGUGUGGCUGGAGGUAUUGGAGUUACACCAUUCGCAUCAGUGCUCAACACGCUGCUUGACGGCUGGAAAUGCUACAAGCUGAGAAGACUCUACUUCAUUUGGGUGUGCCGGGACAUUGAGUCUUUCCGCUGGUUUGCAGACCUGCUCUGUACGUUGCAUAGCAAGCUUUGGCAGGAGAAUCGACCAGACUAUAUAAACAUCCAGCUGUACCUCAGUCAAACAGAUGGAAUACAGAAAAUAAUUGGUGAAAAAUAUCAAGCUUUAAACUCAAGGCUUUUGAUUGGACGACCCCGGUGGAAACUCCUUUUUGAUGAAAUAGCGAAGUGUAACAGGCGGAAGACCAUUGGAGUUUUCUGUUGUGGACCAAACAAAAUCUCUAAGAUCCUUCAUAAACUGAGCAACAGCAGCAACUCCUAUGGGACAAGCCAGGUCAUCUGACAAUGAAAUCAGUCCACAGUACAUUUAGCAGAGCACCAUUAACGAACCAGUGCUUUCCACCCUGCCAGUCUCCCAUAAAUUUAUGAGAAGACAGUCCAGGCCUCUAAGUCCUUAUUACCAGAUCUUCCGGACACAUUCAGCUCUGUGACGAAAUAGCCAGCACAUUUUUGCCAUGUUCUUGUCUUUGCAUGAAGGGAUCACAAGUGAAGAACUUCAGCUUUUAGCACUUCUCCCAGAAGUAUAUUUUCUUCUGCGGUGUGUAAGGACUAUGUAUUUGCAAUAGCUUGCACGUAGGAGUGAAGGUGAGUAAUGACAUUAAUGUUGCAAAAAAGCUCAUCAGCAUCAGUCAGAGGUGGAGCAGAACAGGAUCUGAUUAGGAGGAGGGCUGUAUUGGUAUGCAAGGCGAGGAAGGCCUGCUGCGUGGCUCUGCCCUACGAGUUAGGAGGCUCCGCAGACUGCUUUCCUUUAUUCAUAUUUAUGGCGCUGUUGUCAGAAGUGCCUGGGAAGAUGUACAGCGGUUUGAAAAUGUAGCACGGUGAAAUGGUUGUGCUUAAAUUUUUCAAGAAGCCAUUCAAACCAGGAACAUUUUAACAUUGUUAUGAUUGCAGGAAAAUAUGUGAAAAUUUGUCCACAAUAUGUAAUUGGCCUGAAAAUACCUUAUUUGCUUAUUAUUGCCUGAGCAUGUUUCUUUUACUAGAAAACAAUGAGGAAAAUCAGGGAGGUGUUUUUAUGCACACGAGUUCCUGUAAAAUCUGGGUGACACACUGGGACAGACACGGUGUAGGUACAACCCCUGUGGGCUGUUUCGCGUUGCCAUCACGAUACCAGCCACAGUAAUGUGGGACAGCCCCACCACUGAGCCCUCAAGGAUGCCUUUUCCUGACGGAUAAAGUGGUGCAGUGAGGGGUGACAGGAGAGGGAAGGCUGAAUCAAGUUGCACGAAGGGAGAUGAUCUGACAUGCCAAGCCACAGUUAGGGUCCAGAAUUAAUGUUUAUAGCCAAGUUCUUGUUUCAAAAGGGAUUUUGUGUGUAUGCAGGGAAAGAACUAGUUUCUCUACAUAUUUUAGAAUCCAGUAGGUUUCCAAAAGUUUUUAGCACUGUGUGAAUUCUGCAUGCCUGACGCCCUCAAGAGAAGGAGAUAACAGGCAGGCUCAUGGGGAAAUGUCCACGUAUAAAACAGGACAUCAAAAAUCCUAAUGGAUGCAAGAUGGAUACGGAGAAAUAAGUUGGUUUUCUGUAGUUAUAACAGCUACUUCAUAUCUAAUUCAGAGCUUAUUGCAAAAAAUUACAGCAAAAGGCCAUUUUUAAUGGUAAGGUCUCAUCGCUGCCAAUUUUCAGCUCACUAUGGAGAGCAAUUCAAAAUGACUUGCAUCCCUGCACACAUGUGUAUACACAGGUGGUGAAUUACAGAUUUAACUCAAUGGAGAGGACAGGUGCUAAAAAUACAAAUUUUGGGAAAAUGUGGGAGGGGGAACAGAAUGAAAAAGACUGCCAGCAGCUCAUUGUCCUGCCUCGACUGAAUGUGACUCUUAAUAGUCUGGGGAAGAAAGACACCAGGCUAGAAAAUGAAAGACUUCACAGAAGUAACAAUGUCCUGCAAAGGCGAGAGACGUACAAUGCUGAGCAUGUUAUAAGGAAGCUGCCAUGUAUCCUGUAGAAGAUUUCUGAACAUCAGCCAUAUGGUGUUUUUGUUUCAUUACAUGAAAAAACAUGGUCCUGAUACUGCAAAUACAUCCCUGGAUACUGAAGCUGGUGGGAUCCUCACCUAACAAGUACUUUCAGACAAACCCAACUUCAAUGCCCGCUGGGGUCAAGGUUUAUGUGAUGGCAUGGUCUAGACUUUAUGGCCCCAAUCACUGUAAUGACCCGUUUUUGGCAUUGAUCCUGACAGAAUGUCCUCCCCAAGCCUGAGCCAACUGCCUAAUGCCCAUGGGAAGGUUCUUAUUGCAAGUCAUCUUGGCCAGACAGAGGAAACGGUAAAGGCGGAGUUGCAUUUUAAGUUCUGCCCACUCUAAUUCAACGAGAUUACAUAGCAAGCACAGCCUCAUGGCAUUACAUUAUUCCCAAGAAAAAAAAAUGCAGGAGCUCUAGCUCCCAUCUCAGGGAAGCAUCCGUGAAGAAAGCAGGUCCUUCAACACUUAACUUACAUAGGUCUGAGCACAGGAGUAACGCAACCCUGAACAUGACGCUGAGAAUUAAAAUGAGGUGCCAUUGCAUUUGUAGCCUGCAGACAGAAUGCCCAAUGUCUCCUGUCAGCGCAGGUGAGAUGUGCCAAGAAAUCAUUCAGUGCCAGGGUACUGAAAGAGUCCUCUCCCUUCUUCUGACCCAUCCAAAAACUAGAUGGCUGGUCCCAGCCGACAUGCAGAGUCCCCAAAAAGGCAAUGGGAAGGCUUAGGCAUGUCAGCAGGACAAUUUCUGCCGUCCCAAAAUAGGUGCUUUAAGAUCGGUGCAGUCAACGCCACCUGACAGUCAGUCCCCACUUCCCACUGUGGAGGAACCUAAAGAGCUUGCUCAGAAAAGAGGAGCAGUUGGGUUUUCAAGUGCUCAGAGUCAGAUACAUUUCUGAAGAGUUUUAACCACAAACUAUCAGGCCAGCGGUCUCAGCAGAAACCCCUUGAUGGAGAGAACUGGCAUGCGUUGCUUGUACCGAUUGUGUCCUAGUUACUAAGAUUAAUAUACACUGUACUAUUUAUCCCCUGCUUUGGUGUUCUUUGUUUCCUCUCAAAGCAGACGCAGUCUCCAAGUCAUAUGGUGAGUGGGAGUUAUAGGGGAAAAAUGCUUGGGGAUAUGCCUACAAGUAUGAAGAGGAUGCAAAUUCCCUUUCAUCAAUUAGGGCUAGGUUGAGGUCUCUGUGAUGAAACUUCUGGGGGAAGAAAACAGGCUGUUAGAUCCUCCACUGAAGAAAAGGGAAAGGAAGAAGCUUGCCUAGGAAUUGGCAGGUGUUCUGAGAUGAGCAUAAAGAGACUUUAGCUAAUAGAUCACAAGGUUUGGCCACAAGGUUCCAUGCUUUUGGGGAAGAAGGGAAGAUCAAGAGCUGGCAAGAUUUAGAAGACCUGAUGAGCCAAAGCUCCACUUCCAUCCUUCCAUGGAUGGUGAGUUCCUGUGGCCAAAGGAGGAAGGCCCAGGGAACAAUGGUGAAGACCUUCUGUGGAGAAGACCCCAACAGCUGAGGAGCUGAAUCAGAAAUUACUUGUUGGCUGUAUCCUUUGCAAGGAGGUGACAUAUGGUAAAAAUUACUUUAGCAGGUAUGAAAAUGAGGCACUUUCACCAGAGAUAGUGAAAUAACCAUGGAAUAUUGCAAUGGUUGCGAUAAACUUGCUUAAUAUAGUUAGAAUUUUUCGAUCAGAGCAACUUUUCAAAGGAAAAUAUCACUUUACAGACAUGAAACAUUUUGCAGAAAGACAUUGUUUUCAACAGACUUCCAGUGUAACACAGGAGUUGUCUUCCUGCCAGGCAUCCACCCAACCAGGGAUCAUGGCUCUGCUGCGGUCUGUCUCAGGCUGCUGCAGCCAUUCAGACUGUCUCAAAGUUGGACAUUUGGGAUUCUGGAGGUGCAAGACUCCAACAUAUUCCUGUCACAUUCUAACUCCAGGUCUGGGGACCCCAGAGACGUACGAUCUCCAGGGUCCCACAGGAGACACCUCUUUGGGAAGCUCCUGGGGGCCCGUGGGAUUUCUACUCUCCCUCCAUAGACUGAACAUGGCUUUAUACCUCAACUCCACUGCAGCUGCCACCAUUUGUGUGUUCGCAGCUCUCCAUCCGCUCAGUAGAACCGAGUGGGAGCAGAGAGUCCAGGAUUUCCAGGACAGAAUGAGCCCCGUGAGCACAGCAGUAACUACGCCUCCAAUCACAGCUGCUCCAACCAGCCAAGCCCAGAUCUGACGGGCUUGCUCAAGGUGGUCAAAGGAAAUAGAGACUUCCACAAUCAAGAACCAGGAAGAUGAACCGGGAGGGCUUCAAGUUAUUGACUCCCUCAGUCUGUUUUAAGGCGGGAUCACUCGUCUUUGCAGUGGUGCAAAGUUCACAGCUCCUACUAACUUAAUCAGGGUCUCCUCAUUAUUACAGCUUGGAAAGUCUAGUGGGAGGUGUCCCUGCCCAGGGCAGGGGGUUGGAACUAGAUGAUCUUUCAGGCUCCUUCCAACCCAAACCGUGCUGUGAUUCUGUCUUUGGACUGCAAGGGAUGCCGUGCGAUGGAUGGCAGUGGGCUGUUCAUGGCAGAGCUGCAGUACCUGUUGAUGUCCCUGGUGACAAGUGAUAGGACGAGGGGAAACGGGUUCAAGUUACGUCAGGGGAGGUUUAGAUUAGAUAUUAGGAAACAUUUUUUCACUGAAAGGGUUAUUAAACAUUGGAAUAGGCUGCCCAGGGAGGUGGUGGAUUCACCAUCCCUGGAGGUGUUUAAAAAAAGGGUAGAUGGGGCACUGAGGGACAUGGUUUAGAAGUGGCUUUUGUCAGGGUAGGCUAAAGGUUGGACUCGAUGAUCUUAGAGGUCCCUUCCAACCUCAGCAAUUCUAUGAUUCUGUGAUUCUAUGUACGCCCGAGACGCUCCCUGUCAGUUCUGCCUCCAGCCCAAGGCGGGUAAAUCAGGAAACUAUGGCCCACCCUUCAUCAUGUGGCUGCCUAGAAACAGUGAGAAUCAGACCAUUUCUGCACGGCUCGUAACAGCUUCUGAAGUCAUUUUUCAGUGCUGAAGUUGAUCAGAGCGUCGCCGCCUGUUGCUUCUGCAGAGUAACGUUGCUGUGGAGCCCUGCUCACCCAACGGCAAGGAUGGCACAUCCGCAGAGCGGAUUACUGGCAAAAAUUGAUUAUAUUGGAUUAUUGAGAGGAGAUAAGUCAAAUAUUCCUUGAUAUAUUUAUAGAGCAAUACCGUUUACUUUUUGUUUGGCAACCUCACUUAACACUUGCGCUUCAUAACUGCGCUUUCACAGUUUGCUGAUAAAAAUUUCUCUAAAAAGAGGUGAGAUCUAGCUAUAGGAUACCUGGUAUUAGCACACUAUAUGCUACCAGGGUGUUAAUAACUCACGAAAAGAUAGCUUCCUACCCCUAAAUGGCUCCCAUGCGAAAGAAAAUAAAAAACCCCUGUUUUUAAAAGCCAUAUUUCUCUUCCUUCAUUAAGCAUCAUUAUGUAACCACCAAAAUACCUGCUCGUACUCUUCUUUCUGAGCAAUGUAUUUUUGCAUCCUGUUUUCUUUUGGUUCUUUCCUCCUGUUUCAAUUAACCUUAAUCUACACCUCCUUAUCUCUGCCUGAAGAAAACCCAGGGACCAAAAUGCUCUCUUCUCGUCUUUUAUUUAAUCCAUAAAUGUAAACCACUUUCCAAGGUAGUAUUGUCACCUUUAAUUGCUUUCUAUUGUCCCAGCAUCCACGUUUUAUUGUGCACGUCACUGUUUUAUUGCGGGCUCUUGCACGCCUAACUUCUCCCUUUCACGUCGUGCCCAACAGUGUGUGCUCCUGAGUCUGGAAACCCAGCGGAGUCUCUC